rnacentral:rRNA from 1 species
GACGAACGCUGGCGGCGUGCCUAAUACAUGCAAGUGGGACGCAAAGAAACACACUGUGCUUGCACACCGUGUUUUCUUGAGUCGCGAACGGGUGAGUAACGCGUAGGUAACCUGCCUAUUAGCGGGGGAUAACUAUUGGAAACGAUAGCUAAUACCGCAUAAUAUUAAUUAUUGCAUGAUAAUUGAUUGAAAGAUGCAAGCGCAUCACUAGUAGAUGGACCUGCGUUGUAUUAGCUAGUUGGUAAGGUAAGAGCUUACCAAGGCGACGAUACAUAGCCGACCUGAGAGGGUGAUCGGCCACACUGGGACUGAGACACGGCCCAGACUCCUACGGGAGGCAGCAGUAGGGAAUCUUCGGCAAUGGACGAAAGUCUGACCGAGCAACGCCGCGUGAGUGAAGAAGGUUGUCGGAUCGUAAAGCUCUGUUGUAAGUCAAGAACGUGUGUGAGAGUGGAAAGUUCACACAGUGACGGUAGCUUACCAGAAAGGGACGGCUAACUACGUG